rnacentral:misc_RNA from 1 species
AAGUCGUAACAAGGUUUCCGUAGGUGAACCUGCGGAAGGAUCAUUAUUGAAUAAACCUGGCGUGGUUGUAGCUGGCCCUCUCGGGGGCAUGUGCUCGCCCGUCAUCUUUAUAUCUCCACCUGUGCACCCUUUGUAGACCUGGACGAUAACUUUCCGAGGCAACUCGGUCGGGAGGACUGCUGGCUUUUCACGAAGUCGGCUUUCCUUGUAUUAUCCAGGCCUAUGUUAUUCACAUACCCCAAAGAAUGUAACAGAAUGUAUCAUAUGGCCUCGUGCCUAUAAACUAUAUACAACUUUCAGCAACGGAUCUCUUGGCUCUC